rnacentral:rRNA from 1 species
CCUACGGGGAGCUGCAGUGGGGAAUAUUGGGCAAUGGACGCAAGUCUGACCCAGCAACGCCGCGUGAAGGAAGAAGGCUUUCGGGUUGUAAACUUCUUUUAAGGGGGAAGAGCAGAAGACGGUACCCCUUGAAUAAGCCACGGCUAACUACGUGCCAGCAGCUGCGGUAAUACGUAGGUGGCAAGCGUUGUCCGGAUUUACUGGGUGUAAAGGGGGUGCAGCCGGAGAGUCAAGUCAGCUGUGAAAUCCACGGGCUCAACCCGUGCACUGCGUUUGAAACUGUUUCACUUGAGUGUCAGAGAGGGAAUCAGAAUUCCUUGUGUAGCGGUGAAAUGCGUAGAUAUAAGGAAGAACACCAGUGGCGAAGGCGGAUUACUGGACGAUAACUGACGGUGAGGCGCGAAAGCGUGGGGAGCAAACAGGAUUAGAUACCCUUGUAGUC